AUGCUCACUUCAGCAACCCAUAUACUAAAAUUGGAAGGAUACAAAGAAGAUUAGCAUGGCCCUUGCACAAGAUAAUUAAAAAAAAAUACAACUUUAU
rnacentral:snRNA from 1 species